rnacentral:rRNA from 1 species
AGUGAACGCUGGCGGUAGGCCUAACACAUGCAAGUCGAACGGCAGCACAGGAGAGCUUGCUCUCUGGGUGGCGAGUGGCGGACGGGUGGGGAAUACAUCGGAAUCUACUCUGUCGUGGGGGAUAACGUAGGAAACUUACGCUAAUACCGCAUACGACCUACGGGUGAAAGCAGGGGACCGUCGGGCCUUGCGCGAUUGAAUGAGCCGAUGUCGGAUUAGCUAGUUGGCGGGGUAAAGGCCCACCAAGGCGACGAUCCGUAGCUGGUCUGAGAGGAUGAUCAGCCACACUGGAACUGAGACACGGUCCAGACUCCUACGGGAGGCAGCAGUGGGGAAUAUUGGACAAUGGGCGCAAGCCUGAUCCAGCCAUACCGCGUGGGUGAAGAAGGCCUUCGGGUUGUAAAGCCCUUUUGUUGGGAAAGAAAUCCAGCUGGCUAAUACCCGGUUGGGAUGACGGUACCCAAAGAAUAAGCACCGGCUAACUUCGUGCCAGCCGCCGCAGUAA